rnacentral:rRNA from 1 species
AGUGAACGCUGGCGGCGUGCCUAACACAUGCAAGUCGAACGAUGAUGGAUGAGCUUGCUCAUCCUGAUUAGUGGCGCACGGGUGAGUAUACCAUAGAUAAUGUACCCCUUAGUUCGGGAUAGCCACUGGAAACGGUGAUUAAUACCGGAUACUCCUUCUUGCCAUAAGGUAAGUCGGGAAAGUUUUUUCGCUAAGGGAUCAGUCUAUGUCCUAUCAGGUAGUUGGUGAGGUAACGGCUCACCAAGCCUAUGACGGGUAUCUGGUUUGAGAGGAUGAUCAGACACACGGGAACUGAGACACGGUCCAGACUCCUACGGGAGGCAGCAGUGAGGAAUAUUGCACAAUGGAGGAAACUCUGAUGCAGCAACGCCGCGUGGAGGAUGACGCAUUUCGGUGUGUAAACUCCUUUUAAGAGGGAAGAUUAUGACGGUACCUCUUGAAUAAGCACCGGCUAACUCCGUGCCAGCCGCCGCCGUAA